GGCGGUUCUCAGGUAAUACACCCCAGAAUCAGGCUCCCUCCUCUCUGGUUCCAGGUGCCUGACCCAAGAACCACA
rfam:Myotis brandtii contig234004, whole genome shotgun sequence.